rnacentral:misc_RNA from 1 species
CGCCGAGAGAUAGCGAUUCAUCACCUUGACCAGCCCCUGCGGCGUCGUCCCCCGGCUGGUGCUGCUGAAUCCCUUCACAUCGCAGAACAGCACGGUCAUGACGCGGCGCUGCCCUUCGGACGCCAGCNNNNNNNNUCAGUCCCUCGACCACGCGCGGGUCGAUAUACUUGCCGAAGGUUUCGCGGAUACGCUCCUUGAGACGGAGCUGUUCGACCAUGCUGUUGAACGCGGUGGUGAGCUGGCCGAUU